rnacentral:misc_RNA from 1 species
GAUGAAGAACGUAGCGAAAUGCGAUAAGUAAUGUGAAUUGCAGAAUUCAGUGAAUCAUCGAAUCUUUGAACGCAUCUUGCGCUCCUUGGUAUUCCUUGGAGCAUGCCUGUUUGAGUAUCAUGAGCAAAUCUCAAAGUCAAUUCCUUUUGUUAAUUCAAUUGGUUUUGCUUUGGACUUGAAGGUCUUGCAGAUUUUCACAGUCUGCUCCUCUUAAAUGCAUUAGCUGGAUCUCAGUAAUUAUGCUUGGUUCCACUCGGCGUGAUAAGUAUCACUCGCUGAGGACACUGUUAAAAGGUGGCCAGGAAAAUACUGAUUGAACCGCUUCUAACGGUCUAUUAAGUUAGACAAUUACCCUUAAGUUUGAUCUCAAAUCAGGUAGGACUACCCGCUGAACUUAAGCAUAUCAAUAAGCGGAGGA